AGAGUUUGAUCCUGGCUCAGAUUGAACGACUGGCGGCAGGCCUAACACAUGCAAGUCGAGCGGAUGAAGGGAGCUUGCUCCUGGAUUCAGCGGCGGACGGGUGAGUAAUGCCUAGGAAUCUGCCUGGUAGUGGGGGAUAACGUCCGGAAACGGGCGCUAAUACCGCAUACGUCCUGAGGGAGAAAGUGGGGGAUCUUCGGACCUCACGCUAUCAGAUGAGCCUAGGUCGGAUUAGCUAGUUGGUGGGGUAAAGGCCUACCAAGGCGACGAUCCGUAACUGGUCUGAGAGGAUGAUCAGUCACACUGGAACUGAGACACGGUCCAGACUCCUACGGGAGGCAGCAGUGGGGAAUAUUGGACAAUGGGCGAAAGCCUGAUCCAGCCAUGCCGCGUGUGUGAAGAAGGUCUUCGGAUUGUAAAGCACUUUAAGUUGGGAGGAAGGGCAGUAAGUUAAUACCUUGCUGUUUUGACGUUACCAACAGAAUAAGCACCUGGCUAACUUCGUGCCAGCAGCCGCGGU
rnacentral:rRNA from 1 species